GUGCUCACUUUGGCAGUACAUAUACUAAAAUUGGAAUGAUACAGAGAAGAUUAGCA
rnacentral:snRNA from 1 species